rnacentral:rRNA from 1 species
UACGUAGGGACCGAGCGUUGUCCGGAAUCAUUGGGCGUAAAGAGCGUGUAGGCGGCCUUUUAAGUCCUGGGUGAAAUCCUGCGGCUCAACCGCAGACGGUCGUGGGAAACUGGAAGGCUAGAGUGCGGGAGAGGAGAGUGGAAUUCCCGGUGUAGCGGUGAAAUGCGCAGAUAUCGGGAAGAACACCCGUGGCGAAGGCGGCUCUCUGGAACGCAACUGACGCUGAGACGCGAAAGCGUGGGGAGCAAACAGG